rnacentral:rRNA from 1 species
CCUACGGGAGGCAGCAGUGGGGAAUAUUGCACAAUGGGGGAAACCCUGAUGCAGCGACGCAGCGUGAGUGAAGAAGUAUUUCGGUAUGUAAAGCUCUAUCAGCAGGGAAGAAAAAAGACGGUACCUGACUAAGAAGCACGGGCUAACUACGUGCCAGCAGCCGCGGUAAUACGUAGGGGGCAAGCGUUAUCCGGAUUUCCGUGGUGUAUAGGGAGCGUAGACGGUAUGGCAAGUCUGAAUUGAAAGCCCAGGGCUUAAACCUGGGACUGCUUUUGAAACUGUUAGACUAGAGUGCUGGAGAGGUAAGUGGAAUUCCUAGUGUAGCGGUGAAAUGCGUAGAUAUUAGGAGGAACACCAGUGGCGAAGGCGGCUUACUGGACAGUAACUGACGUUGAGGCUCGAAAGCGUGGGGAGCAAACAGGAUUAGAUACCCUGGUAGUC